UACGUAGGGGGCAAGCGUUGUCCGGAAUCAUUGGGCGUAAAGCGCACGUAGGCGGCCCUGUAAGUCCGUUGUGAAAGUCAAAGGCUCAACCUUUGAAUGCCGAUGGAUACUGCAGGGCUAGAGUCCGGAAGAGGCGAGUGGAAUUCCUGGUGUAGCGGUGAAAUGCGCAGAUAUCAGGAGGAACACCAAUAGCGAAGGCAGCUCGCUGGGACGUGACUGACGCUGAGACGCGAAAGCGUGGGGAGCAAACAGG
rnacentral:rRNA from 1 species